rnacentral:lncRNA from 1 species
AUGCAUUGGUCUAAUUUCCGCUCACCCCAUUGGACUUCAUUUGAAUGGCUGACUCUCAGGAACUAGUCUUUCCAUCCCUUGGUAGGACUGGGCCCAGAACGGAAAGCAUCUUUCCACACAUCUAAGAAGUUUUCGGCUCUAAAAGGGAUCCUAUUUGUCUCUACGUUUAUUAGAUCGGUGGGAUCUAGGUUUCCCAAUGGACCGAGGCACUGGAAGUGAGGUUGAUCGGUAGGAAUCACGAUCUUAUCGGCCAACUCCUAAAGGGUUUGGAGGAUGAAGGAACAUAAAAAAGACAAAGAAGACAAAAAAAGAAAAAAGGGGAUAUUCAGUAAAUAGAUUUGCAGAUGAAUGAGAGUGCAGCAAAAGUAUAAAAAGAAGGGAGUGGUGAGUUGACCUCAGGAACGACGAAGUUGAUGGCCAUUUCUUCUCGGAUGAAGGAAGAGAUCGAAGACUCUGAGGAUUGCUAGAAGAAAUCCUUGCCGGAGUUCUUGAAGUUAUCGAACAGUGCCGCCGCCAGGAGGGUGGAUUUGGGGCUGUAGAAUGACAAGAUGUAGAAAGAGUACC